rnacentral:rRNA from 1 species
GAUGAACGCUGGCGGCGUGCCUAAUACAUGCAAGUCGAGCGAACGGACGAGAAGCUUGCUUCUCUGAUGUUAGCGGCGGACGGGUGAGUAACACGUGGAUAACCUACCUAUAAGACUGGGAUAACUUCGGGAAACCGUAGCUAAUACCGGAUAAUAUUUUGAACCGCAUGGUUCAAAAGUGAAAGACGGUCUUGCUGUCACUUAUAGAUGGAUCCGCGCUGCAUUAGCUAGUUGGUAAGGUAACGGCUUACCAAGGCAACGAUGCAUAGCCGACCUGAGAGGGUGAUCGGCCAGACUGGAACUGAGACACGGUCCAGACUCCUACGGGAGGCAGCAGUAGGGAAUCUUCCGCAAUGGGCGAAAGCCUGACGGAGCAACGCCGCGUGAGUGAUGAAGGUCUUCGGAUCGUAAAACUCUGUUAUUAGGGAAGAACAUAUGUGUAAGUAACUGUGCACAUCUUGACGGUACCUAAUCAGAAAGCCACGGCUAACUACGUG